rnacentral:rRNA from 1 species
UACAGAGGGGGCGAGCGUUAUUCGGAAUUAUUGGGCGUAAAGGGCGCGUAGGCGGCUUUGCAAGUGACGGGUGAAAUCCCUCGGCUUAACCGAGGAACUGCCUGUCAGACUGUAAGGCUUGAGACCGGGAGAGGUGAGUGGAAUUCCCAGUGUAGCGGUGAAAUGCGUAGAUAUUGGGAGGAACACCAGUGGCGAAGGCGGCUCACUGGACCGGUACUGACGCUGAGGCGCGAAAGCGUGGGGAGCAAACAGGG